rnacentral:rRNA from 1 species
GGAGGGUGCAAGCGUUAUCCGGAUUCACUGGGUUUAAAGGGUGCGUAGGCGGGCAGGUAAGUCCGUGGUGAAAUCUCCAAGCUUAACUUGGAAACUGCCGUGGAUACUAUUUGUCUUGAAUAUAGUGGAGGUGAGCGGAAUAUGUCAUGUAGCGGUGAAAUGCUUAGAUAUGACAUAGAACACCCAUUGCGAAGGCAGCUCGCUACACUAUUAUUGACGCUGAGGCACGAAAGCGUGGGGAUCAAACAGGAUUAGAUACCCUGGUAGUCCACGCCCUAAACGAUGAUUACUCGACAUCAGCGAUACACUGUUGGUGUCUGAGCGAAAGCAUUAAGUAAUCCACCUGGGAAGUACGACCGCAAGGUUG